rnacentral:lncRNA from 1 species
UGUUUUCUUUUCCUUUUAUUUAUUCUUUCCUGCUUUAUUGUAGUUGCAUUCUAUUUUAGUAAAACAUACACUUAGUAUCUAAAUUAGUAUUACAACCUAGUCCAUAGUCACAAAAAGUCUAGACCCCAAAUAACUUAGUUUGACAUUUUAUUAAUUAUAAAAGUUAUUCAAAUAAUCAUUUUUACUACUGUUUUAUUCAUCUCAUAGUAUUUAAACAUUUUAUACAUGUGUGGUUUUUCCCCCAUAAUUAUCUAUGCAAUAUUUGGUUCCCUCUGAACAUUUUAGUUUUAAUAUUUGAAAACUUUUAUUGUUUGCCUAUUUUUUGAAUUUGAAUUUGAAUCGGUUUCGAACUAACUCGAGAUUAGCAACUAUAAACGAGGUGACGUGGCAUCAUUAGCAGAGGAUCACUGUAGCUUAAUUACCCGGGCGUCACAACUCUCCUCCACUACAAGAAAUCUCGUCCCGAGAUUUAAGCGGUGGAGUAAGGGGUGAAGGUGUUGGUAGCGAAAAACCUAACGAGUCUUCUCGGUCUUGGCUGCCCUUUCGAAGAGGUUGAUCCCUUUCGUUGAUGUCUUCAUUUCACUGCUUCAAGUCACCAUGAUCAAUUUGUCAUCCUUUCUUCGGGAUCUCCAUCGUACUUACGAAUAGGUAAGGGGCAGCUCUACAACGAUAGGAUGUUAUAAGGGAAAAUCUUCUGGGGGUUUCCCAAGUAUGAACAUAUGAGUAUCUCUCGAGUUGAACAAAUGAAACACAUCGAGAGCAAAGUAAGACGGUGCGAUAAGAAGUUUCAAGCGGAUAGGCAAUUGUUCAUUGCCUGAAACAGAGUGUGAAUGGGGUUCAGAGCAACGGGAAUAAGUAUUGUGUCUGAUACCAUAAUUGAUCACUAGGAAGGUGGCUCGCAAUACAUACGAAGUCAAGCUCUAGGAAUAACUUUGGCAACAAGGUGUAUAGGAGAGUCAGGUUUCGAUCCUGUGGAACUGUGGGUUAUGGGCCCACCAUGUGGGGUAAAAGUAGGAAGGGCGGUGAUGCCUUGCACGAUCAUGUAGAUAAGGCAUGUCAGAGGGUAGCCUGCCAGUUGUGUUGGCAACAGCGUCGGUACCAAGGGCGAGGGACGAAGAGAACCAUUUUCCUGCUCGUUGAACGAGGCGGUCCGAUAGGCAAAGUUCUCAUCCAUCGGUGGUUACCGGGAUGUCAUAAACAAUAGUAACAGGGUCUUGCUGACAGAAUUGUACACCGAUGUGUUUACAUGAGCAGAAGAAUCUUACUGUUUAGAUCAUAUAGAUCACAAGAAAGGUUAAACAAACCAAUGGAAAGGAAAAUGUGAUCCUCAGGUUAAACAGAACAAUGGAAAGGAAAAAAUGUGUUUAAACACAUCUUUCAGGGGUAUAUCAUUCCCAAGGACAAGCAGAGCAUGAUAUCCAUGAUAGGAUAUAACGUAGAAAAUCUCUUUAGGUAAGGGAGAGAAAUUUCAUGACAUUACCCAUACAGCGGUGUUUGGAUAAUUUAGCAGGAAACAUUUAGCAUUGGCUUCAAAUGUCCUUGUUGAAAAUCGGAGUACCACAAACAUGCUUCGAGAUAGCAUUACAUGGUCUUCAAGCAAGUUCAGACUUUGGAAACAAAAAGGGUCCAUCAGGAAGAACUUAUAGAAUAAGUCUUACAAUUUCCUCAUGGAAGAAAGGAUAGCCUGGCUGAAAAGGGAAACUAUAACAAUUGGGCCUCCGGCCAGGUGUGUUAGGCAUGACAUAAAUUACCGGGUCACAUAAGGACCAUUGUUGUAACUCUUGGAAAUAUGUUCCAACCAUCAUAUCUAACCUAGAUUCAGAUCUGAUUAGUGCUAGGAUACCUCCAACUUAGUAAGCCUGAGAAGAAAAGGUGCAACACAAUUGACGAGAUGACAAUGUAAGAUUCUCGGGAAAUGAACUAUGAAGUGAUUUCCGUUAACAAGAGUUCAUCAUUAAUCCAAGGAGAGGACAAGGAGGUGUCUGGUGAACUCAACGGCAAUUCAUCGAGAUUUCCAAAAGAUGGAUUUCCACAAUUAAGUGAACAAGGAGAUAACAUUUGUCAGAUCAAAUGAUAUAAGGGAGUAUGCUCACGGAAAACAUACACAAUUAAACAUUGGUUGAAAGGUGCACCCAAAAUAUGGGUUGGGUUGCACGACCAAUGUCAGAAUGGUGAUUCAAUAAUCAAUAGUCUAAGAACGAAUGGCCGACCAUUAACUUCAAACCAAUAGGGUUGCUAUAAGUGCAGAAUCCAAACAACACCGUUCACUUGUUGGUACCCCGGUUGGAAUCAACACGAGGACCAAGAAAGAAUGGUGAUGGUGAGAAGUAUCACGAUACCAAGAAUUCUUAAGAGGUGGUGAAAUUCUCACAACAUUCUUGACAUAAAAGAUGGCAAUACUCCAAGGUAAAGGAGAACAAAUGCUGGAUAGCAAGGAUCUCAAGGUAUAACACAAAACACGAACAAGUUUGUGUUGAACGGAAGGCAAUCAAGUGGUCGGCGAUAACACAAAUCAUCGAGGGCAAGGAUGGUAUUUCUCAUCAGGAAUUCAAUUGAUAUCCUUGAGGAGCUCGAAAUGUUGAUGAUGAUCAUGACAAUUUCUGUCGAGAGGUUUCAUGGAGAUGUAAUCGGUCGGCGAUGACAUCAAGUCAAACGAAUGAUGAAGCGAAAGGUUAUUGGAACCAUGGGUACGACACAAACUUGAAAUCAAGUUUGUUGUUUGAGGUGAAACAAUAAGACAAGGAAGAUCGACGUAAGCUUAGCCCAUCAUCGAAAUUGUACUCCGGAAAGAAGGACCAGGUAGCACAGUUAAAAUUUGGCACGAUAAUGAUAUAGCUGAGUAGGCUCGGAAUGACGUGAUCGAGUUCCGACUCUUAAGUAAUGAAGGUUACCAAGAGUUGUUGAAUCGUAGUGCGGACUCAAUUCAGUUGUCGGUGUCCUUGAGGGGUUCUAACUACUGAGAACCCGUUGCAAAAAUGGAAUCGGCAAGAAUAUUAGUUGAUGAAGAACUCAUAAGAAGUUAUGUAUCCCGUGGUAUCCUCAAGAUACCAGGGGGUAAUACUGGACGACAGAUCAAAGUAGAGGUUGGACUGGGGUAUUGCUCUGCAGAAGACAAGUGCUUAAACUUGCACGAGAAAUGGUACCUAAAAGAGAACAUGGUCGAAACCACGAUUGCAAAAGGCCAGAUCCCAGAUAUAAUAUGAACUUAUACCAAGGGAGUAAUUAAUUUAAGAGAAGCUUUAAUGAUAAGAUCUACAUCGUGUCCAUGGGCAUGAACACAAAGUUCAAGGUCGACUCCCACUUCUUCAAUGCAUAACCUUACAUUUACCUCCCCUUUUUCGAAGUUGUAGUGCUGAAAAGUUAUCUGACGAAGCGUCAGCAGGGUAUAACCCGCAUAACUUUCGAGGUCAAACAAAUUAAGGAAGGCAUAGGUUCAACCCGUCAGGGUAUCGUGGAAACAUAUACCACAAGCUUUGAGAGUAAAUAUUACCAGCUCGAAAGCAGAGCAUGGUUGGCAAAAGGAGAGGAUACAAAUUACCAAAGGCAUUAUGUAUGGGAGAAAGAACUCACAAGGUGAUUAAUUAUGAAGGACAUUGUCGGAUAAUAAUCCAACAGUGGAUAUGGUGAUCCACAAUGGAGCUGAUGUGAGUAUCGAUACCCAAUCAGACGAAGAAAGAAUGCAAAUGCAUCAUUUUACAGAACAUCUGAAUAAUUCAACGUUUAAAUAACAAAGGAUUUAUGACUUUCAAAUCAAGGGAUCAGGAGCAAACGCUCUGAUCAAGGACGGACAAGUUGAAUAGACUUAGGGGUACAAUCGAUGGCAAUCUGAUUGGCCGAGGACCAGCUCACGUUUUAAAUGACAUCUGAGCUGGAAGGAUGAAUUCUAUGAUCCGAGUGAGGAUUGCGAGCAUUCGCAACAUAUUGAGUCAAUGGACUCAAAAUGAUAUUGACAAAGGUUGCCAAUAAGAUUACUAUACUUAUGGGAUUAACCAUAAUGCAAGCAAGCAAGAAUUUCAGGAGCAAUAGGUUGCUCAGGAUUUUCGGAAGACCGAAUGGUAUUUCGAAGAAUUUUGUGAACUGCAUGAAUAUCUGGGGAUGAGCGGAUACUCGAUAAAUGCGAGUAAUUAUCCGUAGUGGUAUGCAUGUGGCAAAGAACUGCAAGGCAGUAGGCACAAAGUAUUCUCGGGGUAUCUUAUAAUAACAAGAUCGAGUGGGAAUAAAAGUAAGCACGACAGGUCUAAAUACUUACCCAUAGGGAUAUUUCGGUGGUAGGGAAUUGCAAAAGCAAUGGCAUAAGGUUUUGGGAGAACAUCGGAGUGUAUUCUCAGAACCUUCUGUUGAAGUAGUCGAUCAUCUAUAAUGAAGGGGCUCUUCGGCAGGAAGUGGUAACGAGAACCUAGAGUUAGAUUUUAGCAAAAUCAUUUAACCCGAGUAGGAGAGAGUCAGAAUCCCAGAGUAUAGACGAGGAAUAAAAGACCCUAAUACCACCCAAUGGCGACGUGGGCCCGUAAGGCACACAGCCAUGUUAGUAAAAGUUUUGUAAUGACUAGACUCAACUUCGGCCAAGGAGUGUGGAAGGGGAAUUCCUACAAGCAGUCGGUUCUGAUACCAACUUGUGAUGCCCCCGAUUUGACCGUACACUAAUCAUACACGCAAACGUGUACGAUCAAGAUCAGGGACUCACGGGAAGAUAUCACAACACAACUCUACAAAUAAAAUAAGUCAUACAAGCAUCAUAUUACAAGCCAGGGGCCUCGAAGGCUCGAAUACAAGAGCUCGAUCAUAGACGAGUCAGCGGAAGCUACAAUAUCUGAGUACAGACAUAAGAUAAACAAGUUUGCCUUAAGAAGGCUAGCACAAACUGGGAUACAGAUCGAAAGAGGGUCAGGCCUCCUGCCUGGGAUCCUCCUAAACUACUCCUGGUCGUCGUCAGCGGGCAGCACGUAGUAGUAGGCACCUCCGGUGUAGUAGGAGUCGUCGUCGACGGUGGCAUCUGGAUCCUGGGCUCCAACAUCUGGUUGCGACAACCAGGUAGAAGGGAUAGGGGGAAAAGAGGGAGAAAGCAACCGUGAGUACUCAUCCAAAGUACUCGCAAGCAAGGAGCUACACUACAUAUGCAUGGGUAAAUGUGUAAAGGGCCAUAUCGGUGGACUGAACUGUAGAAAGCCAGAAUAAGAGGGGGGAUAGCUAAUCCUGUCGAAGACUACGCUUCUGGCCACCUCCAUCUUGUAGCAUGAAGAAGAGAGUAGACUGAAGUCCUCCAAGUAGCAUCGCAUAGCAUAAUCCUAACCGAUGAUCCUCCCCUCGUCGCCCUGUGAGAGAGGGAUCACCGGUUGUAUCUGGCACUUGGAAGGGUGUGUUUUAUUAAGUAUCCGGUUCUAGUUGUCAUAAGGUCAAGGUACAACUCCAAGUCGUCCUGUUACCGAAGAUCACGGCUAUUCGAAUAGAUUAACUUCCCUACAGGGGUGCACCACAUAACCCAACACGCUCGAUCCCAUUUGGCCGGACACACUUUUUUGGGUCAUGCCCGGCCGCAGAAGAUCAACACGUCGCAGCCCUACCUAGGCACAACAGAGAGGUCAGCACACCGGUCUAAAUCCUACGGCGCAGGGGUCUGGGCCCAUCGCCCUUUGCACACCUGCACGUUGCGAACACGGCCGGAAGCAGACCUAGCCUAGUAGGCGUUCCAGUCCAAUCGGGCGCGCGCCACUCAGUCGCUGACGUCACGAAGGCUUCGGCUGAUACCACGACGUCGAGUGCCCAUAACUGUCCCCGCGUAGAUGGUUAGUGCGUAUAAGCCAGUGGCCAGACUCAGAUCAAAUACCAAGAUCUCGUUAAACGUGUUAAGUAUCCGCGAACGCCGACCAGGGCCAGGCCCACCUCUCUCCUAGGUGGUCUCAACCUGCCCCAUCGCUCCGCCUCAAAGUAACAGUCGGGGGCCGUCGGGAACCCAGGCCCACCACUACCUGGAUGGAGCCACCUGCCCCUUCAGCCCCCAUCUCCGAACAGUACCACAGGUAAGGUAACUGUGUAAAGUAUAUUGUAUAUGCCCGUGAUCACCUCCCGAAGUGAUCACGGCCCAGUAGUAUAGCAUGGCAGACGGACAAGAGUGUAGGGCCACUGAUGGAACACUAGCAUCCUAUACUAAGAAGUAGGAUAGCAGGUAAUGGUAACAACAGUAGUAGCAAGGACAUGCUAUGCAUCAGGAUAGGAAUAACGGAAAGCAGUAACAUGCUACACUACUCUAAUGCAAGCAGUAUAGAGGAGAGUAGGCGAUAUCUGGUGAUCAAGGGGGGGGGGCUUGCCUGGUUGCUCUGGCAAGAGAGAGGGGUCGUCAACACCGUAGUCGUACUAGGUAGCAGCGGCGUCGGUCUCGAUGUCUAGCGAGAGAAGAGGGGGAAGAAACAAUAAAUAUAAUGCAAACAAAUGCAUGACGAUGCAUGACAUGACAAAGCGUGAUGCUAGGUGCGCCUUAACGCGGUACGAGGUGGUACCGGUGAAGGGGGAAACAUCCGGGAAAGUAUUCUCGGUGUUUCACGUUUUCGGACAGAGGAGCCGGAGGGGCAAAGUUGCGUGUUUUCUAUGCUAGGGAUGUGUGGCGGACGAACGAGCUGCGUAUUUGAAUUCGUCUCGUCGUUCUGAGCAACUUUCAUGUACAAAGUAUUUUCAUCCAAAUUACGGAUUAAAAGAUAUGAUUUUCUAAAGAUUUUAUUAAUUUCUGGUAUUUAAUUAAUUAUUUAAAUUAAUUCGAAAAUGAAUUAAUGACAUCAGCAUGAUGUCAUGCUGACGUCAGCAGUCAACAGAGUUGACUGGGUCAAACUGACAUGUGGGUCUAGUGGGACCCACCUGUCAUACUCUGUUUAGGUUAAUUAGGUCUUAGUUAAACAAAGUACUAUUUAAUUAAACUAACUAGUUAAUUAGAUUAAUUAAACAUGAUUAAUUAACUUAAUUAAUUCACUUAUUGAUUAAUCAAUUAAUGUAAUUAUUAUUUAUUUAUUUAUUUUUAAUUCUUUUGUUUAAUAAAGUUCUGGGGAUGGGGCCCCCUUGUCAUAGGCCCCGGGGGGCCUUAGCGGGUUAGCGGGCAGGAGGGCGACGGGCGCCGGGGCGAGCGCUCACCCGCACGGAGUGUGACGAGGCAAGGCCAGUGGCCAAGGCGACCGCGGUGGCCGGCCGGCGUGGGGAGACGAAGUGCGGGGCCGGCGACAAGCGAGCUCGCGGGCGGCAGAGGAGGCGCCGCCGGAGUGGGGACGCGUGGACGGGCUGGCGUGAGGGGCGAGGCCAUGGCAGCUGCAGCAGUGGGAGGCGCGGGCGCGCGGGCUGGCGAGGCCGCAUCGCUGGUGAGGUGAGGCCGCGCACGCGCGGGCAAGCGGCGUGCGGAGGCGCGGUGAGGGAGGGGGAGACGGGCUUGUCCGGAGCAGGUCCGGGCUCGGCAGCGUCGAGGCACAGGCGGGCGACGGCGAUGCGAAUCAGAGGAGAAGGGAGGGGACGAACGGCGAAGCUCACAGGGGGGCUUCGUAGGGAACUGGGCAGCGGGGGUCGGGGUCGGCUGGUGAGGAGACCGUGGACGGGGCAGUGCCGGCGUGGUCGACGGUGGCAGGGACGACGAGGUUCGGUGGAGGCCGCUGAGGAGGAAGGCGAGGACGGUCCGGCGAGGGGGUCGGUGAGGCAACGGGAGGCGCGCCGACGUUGUUCCGAGCGGCGAGGCACUCCAGGCGGGGGCGAUGGGUGCCCGGCGACGGGGCGGGGCGCCGGUGGGGCGCCGUGUCGGGGAGGCGGCGGUGGAGCGCAGGAUCGGGUCUGAUCCCGAUUGGAUCGGGGGAGAGGGAGUGGGGGCGCGAGUGGGGGGGUUGGGUAGUGGGGGAGGGUAGCGGUUUAGGGUUUUAGGGGAUAGGGCCAUAUAGGCCAGGGAGGUGCGGGAUGGGCCGGCCCAGUUGGGCCAAGGGGUCCAGUGGGGGGUCUCUUUUUACCUUUUUUUUGGUUAGUUUCCUUUUCUGUUUUUGUGUUUUCUUUUCCUUUUAUUUAUUAUUUCCUGCUUUAUUGUAGUUGCAUUCUAUUUUAGUAAAACAUACACUUAGUAUCUAAAUUAGUAUUACAACCUAGUCCAUAGUCACAAAAAGUCUAGACCCCAAAUAACUUAGUUUGACAUUUUAUUAAUUAUAAAAGUUAUUCAAAUAAUCAUUUUUACUACUGUUUUAUUCAUCUCAUAGUAUUUAAACAUUUUAUACAUGUGUGGUUUUUCCCCCAUAAUUAUCUAUGCAAUAUUUGGUUCCCUCCGAACAUUUUAGUUUUAAUAUUUGAAAACUUUUAUUGUUUGCCUAUUUUUUGAAUUUGAAUUUGAACCGGUUUCGAACUAACUCGAGAUUAGCAACUAUAAACGAGGUGACGUGGCAUCAUUAUCAGAGGAUCACUGUAGCUUAAUUACCCGGGCG